rnacentral:rRNA from 1 species
UACGUUCCCGGGCCUUGUACACACCGCCCGUCACACCACGAAAGUCGGCAACACCCGAAGCCGGUGGCCUAACCGCAAGGAAGGAGCCGUCGAAGGUGGGGUCGGUGAUUGGGGUG